GCAGGGGUCGCCCAGCUGGUCAAAGUCAUGGAAACUUCGUUUCCAAGCCUUUUGAAAUAGGCUACAUGACGGCAAAAGGCGCCGGACUCAAGAUCCGGUCUCGUAGGAGUUCGAGGGUUCGAAUCCCUUCCCCUGCACCA
rnacentral:tRNA from 1 species